AUGCGGCGCCGCCAUAGGAUGACGCCGGAGACGGGAAGCAUCCUCCCGCCUCAUCUCCUCCGCGGGCUCCAGCCCCCUCGAGCAGCGAGCUGCCUCCGGGGGAGGAAGGGCAGCGUCGACGGGCAGGGCAGGGGGGAGCUGCGGUGGAGGAGCGGCAGGGAGUACAAGUCGCGACGCCGGAUCCAUGGACAGACCGGCGACGAGCUGCCUGCGGGUGAGAACGCAAUGUUCAGAAACGUGCUGCUCUUUCAGUACCACUUUGAGACAAUUUCAGGCAGUAGAAAGACGAGGUUAGAUUCAAGAGAAAAGAUAAAUCAGGAGCAGGUUAGUAAAAUGAGUUUCGUUUCUGUUCGGAGAGCUCAUAUGCUGCAAGCUUUCUGGUAA
rnacentral:rRNA from 1 species